ACGCCUAUAGCUCAGCUGGUUAGAGCGCACCCCUGAUAAGGGUGAGGUCGGUGGUUCGAGUCCACUUAGGCGUACCA
rnacentral:tRNA from 1 species